UAAGCAACCCAACACCCCACCCCAUUCCAUUCCCUUCUUAGCCACCUCUCUUGAUUUCACCAACCAUCACCAUUUCGUUUCUUUCCCUUUUUCCAAUGGGGUGGUUUCAAUCCCUCUUCUCUCCACUCAAGAAGCUAUGGGUUAAACUCCACUCAGCUCAUCAUAAGAGUAGAGGGAUCUACAUAUUGUACGAGGAUGUGAAGUCAUGUCCCUAUGAAGAUGUGCACGUACUUUGGUCUAUAUUGGUGGAAUCGACACAUGGUCCUUCUCACGCUUUAGCAUUACCUCCAUUAAACUGAUACAUUCUUCCUACAGAUGAUCCCCGAGCUUCUUGUCUUUGUACAUAAUCCCCCUCUUUUUUUGAUCAAAUCUUGUACCUGUUUCUGAGGUUUUUCAGGAAUUGUACUUUGCAACUUUAAGUUAUUAUGCCGACAUAACUUUUUUCA